GGAAGUGAACAUGUUUAUGCCACUGUUGAACAAACAAAUGAUGCUGCAGAUAAAUCCAGUGAUGUCACUUACUCAGAGAUCAACAUAAACGAGAAGAAAUCCAAGAACAAAGACCGAAAUGAUGCAGCACAGCAUGAAACCAUUUACUCCAAACUUCAGACAAACAAACCCACAGAUUCUGGUGCUGUAUCCUCAGAUGUGACUUAUUCUGAGAUUGAACUAAACCAAAAGAAGAAACCCAAGAGAAAACAAGAGAAGGGUGGUGUGGAUUCUGACACUGUGUAUUCAGAGCUGAAGCAGAACACUGACAGAGGUCAUGAUUGUGGAAUUGAAGGAUCAGGAUAUGUUUUUUUAACUGAUAAAAGAACAAAUUCUAGCAGAAAUUCACAACAGCACAA